CUUGAUGGUGGCUGUGCGCAGGGCGCCCUCGGGCGCGCCGGUUUCACUUCUCACCGGUCGACUAACCUGCGUCCAGCCGCCACCCCU
rnacentral:antisense_RNA from 6 species